rnacentral:rRNA from 1 species
CUAACGCUGGCGGCGUCCUAACACAUGCAAGUCGAACGAAGUAGCAAUACUUAGUGGCAGACGGGUGAGUAACACGUAGUCAACCUUCCUUUUAGUGGGGGAUAACUAGCCGAAAGGUUAGCUAAUACCGCAUACGAUCGUCGAGCGGCAUCGCUUGACGAUGAAAGCAGCAAUGCGCUAAGAGACGGGACUGCGUCCCAUUAGUUAGUUGGUGGGGUAAUGGCCUACCAAGACUCCGAUGGGUAGCUGGCUUGAGAGAGCGACCAGCCACACUGGAACUGAGACACGGUCCAGACUCCUACGGGAGGCAGCAGUGAGGAAUUUUCCGCAAUGGGGGCAACCCUGACGGAGCGACGCCGCGUGUGGGAAGAAGGCCUUCGGGUCGUAAACCACUGUCGAAGGGGACGAUAUUGACGGUACCCUUGGAGGAAGCCCCGGCUAACUACGUGCCAGCAGCCGCGGUAAGACGUAGGGGGCAAGCGUUGUCCGGAAUUAUUGGGCGUAAAGCGCUCGUAGGCGGAUCUUUAAGUCCGUGAAGAAAUACCUGGGCUCAACUCAGGGAACGGCACGGAUACUAUUGAUCUUGAGGCAAUCAGAGGAUGAUGGAA